rnacentral:misc_RNA from 1 species
UUUCCGUAGGUGAACCUGCGGAAGGAUCAUUAUCGUAGGGCUUCUGUCCUGUCGAGAUAGCGUCCUGCCUAUUUUUUGGAGUACCUUUUGUUUCCUCGGCAGGCUUGCCUGCCACUGGGGACCCUUUAAACUCUUUGUAACUACAGUAUCUGUCUGAAAAACAAACAAAAAAUCAAAACUUUCAACAAUGGAUCUCUUGGUUCUG